GGCGGGGCGCCCAGACCCAGUUGGUGGGGGGAGGCUGGGCUCUGGAGCCAGGGAUGCUUCCUGCGGACACUGGACUCCCACAUUCCAGGCCAUUCCAAAGACUCAUUCCUCCUCCCUCCUGGCCCUCCCCAGCCUGGGGCGGGGGCAGUGCCUGGGUCGGAGCUGGCUGCUUGGGGGCCUCUCCAGGGCGGGACUAAGGUUCAGACUAGAGGGGCUGCCCGGGAGGCCUGUCCAAGGCACCGCCCUGGGGGUCCUUGUGAUUCUCAUAAACAGGAAAUCUCCCCCCUCCCUGUAGACGGGCCCCUGUGUAUGCAGACGCUGGACUCUGGAGGCCCAGGGUCCCUUGACCUCUCCGGCUGCUUCCUGUUAGCCCAGCCAGAGGAGAGGGAGGCGGACAGAAAUGGCCCCGACCUGCGGGAGAGGCCCGAGAGAGUGUGAGCACAGAGAAGCACAGAGAGGCUGCAAGGAAAGAGGCCAGAACAAGCUUGGCACAUAGUAGGUGCUCAGUACAUAAUCCUGCCUGUGGUCGAGCAAGGGGGAGGGGGCUGCUCUGGGGAGAGCAGCCUAGUCAGAAGAAAGAGAGGCUGGAGGUCCCACCCCGCUGUCACCGAGGCCUAGCACAUAGUAGGUGCUCAGUAAAUAUUUGAGACGGAUGUUGAGGAUAGACAGGGAGGGAGCGUUCCUGGGAGAGCAGCCCUGUUGGGGGGCAGGGAAAAGGGGGCUCCCCUGGCCUGGCUGCUUCCUGUGAGUGGACAGCCCCCAAGAAUCCUCACCCUAUUGUCCCUGUCUGGCCCCCAGCCCGCCCCACGGCCGCCCGGGCCAGGCCACUGUCUCAAGGCCCUUUAUUUUUAAAAUCCCUGCGGUGUUCCCACCCCAAACCGAAAGAGCAGUGCCAGCCACAGAUCCGCCUGCGGCCUGGGCGCCGGGCCCAGAGGCCCCGGGGGUGGGGCAUCCGGCCACCCCACAGCUGCCGAUGCAAUUCUGAGAGGGCUUCUAGAUGCAAUUCUGGGAGGGCGUCUCUGCCUUCGGGCCUGCCUGAGCAGGGAAAGGGAGGAGGAAACCAGGAGCUAAGAAGCAGGGAAGAGGGGCCAUGGGACGAACCCAGGACUCAGAGCCAGGAGUGCCGGGUUCGACGCCCAGCGCUACAGACCAGAGGCUGGGGCCGCGGGCUGUGGGAAGUGCUUUGGGCUCCACCGUUGCUGCGUCCACCGCACAAAGGAGAUGGUGUACGUAAAAGCCCUGCAUCCACCAAAGUGGCUUUGGUUCGAAGAAAACAGACCCAUGCAUCCAGGCAUGCACCCGUGGUUGUGGGGGUGAGGAAGGGGCCCCCACCCCACCCAGGCAGGGCCACGCGAAGCCCCAAGGGCGGGGCUCU
ensembl:lncRNA